AUUGCGUCGUCCCCCCAUCACCCAUGUCCUGAAAUGGAGGGAGUGGGGGGGCGGAAGUUGGCUUCCCGUGCGGUGUUUGCGGCUAGCCUGAAACACGGUUCCCUCGCUGCGGAUGUCGCGACAAGUGGUGGUCGUCGAGAUUGUGCGCGAGUUGGCGGCAGGCUGCAUCGAGGGGAGCAUUUGUGGACCCUGUGCGAGAUGAGCCCUUCACCGAGGGGCAAUUUCCAACGAUUGCGACCCCAGGUCAGGC
rnacentral:rRNA from 1 species